rnacentral:rRNA from 1 species
UCGGAUUAAUGCUCCAUGAGACCACAAUACCGCAUGAUAUAGUGGUAAAAGCUCCGGCGGUCAAAGAUGGGCAUGCAUGCCAUUAGUUAGUUGGUGAGGUUACGGCUCACCAAGACAACGAUGGCUAGGGGGUCUGAGAGGAUGAUCCCCCACACUGGUACUGAGACACGGACCAGACUCCUACGGGAGGCAGCAGUGAGGAAUAUUGGUCAAUGGACGCAAGUCUGAACCAGCCAUGCCGCGUGCAGGAUGAAUGCCCUAUGGGUUGUAAACUGCUUUUCUACAAGAAGAAACUUCCUGAUGUAUCAGGAACUGACGGUAUUGUAGGAAUAAGCAUCGGCUAACUCCGUGCCAGCAGCCGCGGUAAUACGGAGGAUGCAAGCGUUAUCCGGAUUCAUUGGGUUUAAAGGGUGCGUAGGCGGGGUAGUAAGUCAGUGGUGAAAGCCUGCGGCUUAACCGUAGAAUUGCCAUUGAUACUGCUAUUCUUGAGUGCAGUUGAGGUAGGCGGAAUGUGUAAUGUAGCGGUGAAAUGCUUAGAUAUUACACAGAACACCGAUUGCGUAGGCAGCUUACUAAACUGUAACUGACGCUGAGGCACGAAAGCGUGGGGAGCGAACAGGAUUAGAUACCCUGGUAGUCCACGCUGUAAACUAUGAUCACUCGCUGUUGGCGAUACAUUGUCAGCGGCUGAGCGAAAGCAUUAAGUGAUCCACCUGGGGAGUACGGCCGCAAGGUUGAAACUCAAAGGAAUUGACGGGGGCCCGCACAAGCGGUGGAACAUGUGGUUUAAUUCGAUGAUACGCGAGGAACCUUACCUGGGCUUAAAUGCAGAACGACGUACCGGGAAACUGGUACUCCCUUCGGGGCGGACUGCAAGGUGCUGCAUGGUUGUCGUCAGCUCGUGCCGUGAGGUGUCGGGUUAAGUCCCAUAACGAGCGCAACCCUCAUUGUUAGUUGCCAGCGAGUAAUGUCGGGGACUCUAACAAAACUGCCGGUGUAAACCGUGAGGAAGGUGGGGAUGACGUCAAAUCAGCACGGCCCUUAUGUCCAGGGCUACACACGUGUUACAAUGGCCAGUACAAAGGGCAGCUACCACGCGAGUGGAUGCUAAUCUCUAAAGCUGGUCUCAGUUCGGAUUGAAGUCUGCAACUCGACUUCAUGAAGCUGGAAUCGCUAGUAA